GAGGUUUCAGCCGGGAGAAAGGAGCUGUGGAAGAAAAGCAGCCCAAAAAUAGCCAGUGGGGAUCAUCAGGUUUGCCAACCAAGAAAAACAAGGAGGGAGAUGAGGGAAUCGGGUUCCAAUUCCUAAUGAUUUGGAAGUGGGCUGGGACAGGGGAAUUGGCUCCCACGAGGCCAAGGGUCAGAGUGGGCUCUGCACAGGGGAUGACUUCCAUUUCCAAACAGGGAAGGGCACCUUUCUCCCCACCCCUGGCAAACUGGGACGGAGUAACAUCUGCCUGCAGCUGGCUGGAGUUCCCGUUUGCUCUGGGCUUUCUGUUCACGGGCCGGGAAUCAUGGCCAGAGUCCUUCAAACCUGGGGAACAGUGGCCUUCACACCAUCCCUGCAGCCUGUCCAGGACAGGCUGCUGCCCGUCGUCCCCUCAUCCCAGGUGGAUGUAGAAGUGAUGGUGUUUAGGGAAUGCUGAUUGUAUUUCCCUGACUUUAGCAACAUGGUCAUUGAAAAGAGAAAAAUAACAAGUCUAUGGAAA